rnacentral:rRNA from 1 species
AAUCAACGCUGGCGGCGUGCCUCAGACAUGCAAGUCGAACGAUUAAAGCUCUCUUCGGAGAGUGUAUAGAGUGGCGCACGGGUGAGUAACACGUAAGUAAUCUACCCUCGAGUGGGGAAUAACAACCGGAAACGGUUGCUAAUACCGCAUAAUGCAGCGGCACCGCAAGGUGACAGUUGUUAAAGAUUUAUCGCUUGAGGAGGAGCUUGCGGCAGAUUAGCUAGUUGGUAGGGUAACGGCUUACCAAGGCUACGAUCUGUAACCGGUCUAAGAGGACGGUCGGUCACACUGACACUGAAUAACGGGUCAGACUCCUACGGGAGGCAGCAGUCGGGAAUUUUGGGCAAUGGGCGAAAGCCUGACUCAGCAACGCCGUCGUGAAGGAUGAA